UGGGCCAGUGAUGACAAUGGCUUGCGGCGUAUGAGUCACAGACGGUGAAUACAGCUCUGGAAGUCUGAGGUCCAG